UACGAAGGGGGGCUAGCGUUGUUCGGAAUUCUCGGGCGUAAAGCGCACGUAGGCGGAUACUUAAGUCAGGGGUGAAAUCCCGGGGCUCAACCCCGGAACUGCCUUUGAUACUGGGUAUCUCGAGUCCGGAAGAGGUGAGUGGAAUUCCGAGUGUAGAGGUGAAAUUCGUAGAUAUUCGGAAGAACACCAGUGGCGAAGGCGACUUUACUGGACACAUAUUGACGCUGAGGUGCGAAAGCGUGGGGAG
rnacentral:rRNA from 1 species